rnacentral:rRNA from 1 species
UGGGGAAUAUUGGACAAUGGGCGCAAGCCUGAUCCAGCCAUGCCGCGUGAGUGAUGAAGGCCCUAGGGUUGUAAAGCUCUUUCACCGGUGAAGAUAAUGACGGUAUCCGGAGAAGAAGCCCCGGCUAACUUCGUG